rnacentral:rRNA from 1 species
GAGUUUGAUCCUGGCUCAGAAUCAACGCUGGCGGCGUGCCUAACACAUGCAAGUCGAACGAGAAAGUGGAGCAAUCCAUGAGUACAGUGGCGUACGGGUGAGUAACACGUGACUAACCUACCCUGGAGUGGGGGAUAACUGAGGGAAACCUUAGCUAAUACCGCAUAAUACCUACGGGUCAAAGGAGCAAUUCGCUUCAGGAGGGGGUCGCGGCCGAUUAGUUAGUUGGCGGGGUAAUGGCCCACCAAGACAGUGAUCGGUAUCCGGCCCGAGAGGGCGCACGGACACACUGGAACUGAAACACGGUCCAGACUCCUACGGGAGGCAGCAGUGGGGAAUUUUGCGCAAUGGGGGAAACCCUGACGCAGCAACGCCGCGUGGAGGAUGAAGUCCUUCGGACGUAAACUACCUUCGUAUCGGACGAUAUGACGGUACCGGAACGAAGAAGACCCGG